AACGCGUGGGAACGUACCCUUCGGUGCGGAAUAGGCCCUGGAAACGGGGUUUAAUACCGCAUACGCCCUUUUGGGGAAAGAUUUAUCGCCGAAGGAUCGGCCCGCGUUGGAUUAGGUAGUUGGUGGGGUAACGGCCUACCAAGCCGACGAUCCAUAGCUGGUUUUAGAGGAUGAUCAGCCACACUGGGACUGAGACACGGCCCAGACUCCUACGGGAGGCAGCAGUGGGGAAUCUUAGACAAUGGGCGCAAGCCUGAUCUAGCCAUGCCGCGUGAGUGAUGAAGGUCUUAGGAUCGUAAAGCUCUUUCGCUGGGGAAGAUAAUGACGGUACCCAGUAAAGAAACCCCGGCUAACUCCGUGCCAGCAGCCGCGGUAAUACGGAGGGGGUUAGCGUUGUUCGGAAUUACUGGGCGUAAAGCGCGCGUAGGCGGACUGGAAAGUUGGGGGUGAAAUCCCGGGGCUCAACCUCGGAACUGCCUCCAAAACUAUCAGUCUAGAGUUCGAGAGAGGUGAGUGGAAUUCCGAGUGUAGAGGUGAAAUUCGUAGAUAUUCGGAGGAACACCAGUGGCGAAGGCGGCUCACUGGCUCGAUACUGACGCUGAGGUGCGAAAGUGUGGGGAGCAAACAGGAUUAGAUACCCUGGUAGUCCACACCGUAAACGAUGAAU
rnacentral:rRNA from 1 species